AACGCGAAGAACCUUACCUGGGCUCGAAAUGUAGUGGAAUGGGGUGGAAACAUCCCCGUCUCGCAAGAGACUGCUAUAUAGGUGCUGCAUGGCUGUCGUCAGCUCGUGUCGUGAGAUGUUGGGUUAAGUCCCGCAACGAGCGCAACCCUCAUCCCUAGUUGCCACCGGGUAAUGCCGAGCACUCUAGUGAAACCGCCCCGGAUAACGGGGAGGAAGGUGGGGAUGACGUCAAGUCCUCAUGGCCUUUAUGUCCAGGGCUACACACGUGCUACAAUGGUCGGUACAAACCGUCGCAAAGCUGCAAAGUGGAGCUAAUCGGAAAAAGCCGGCCUCAGUUCGGAUUGGAGUCUGCAACUCGACUCCAUGAAGCUGGAAUCGCUAGUAAUCGCAGAUCAGAACGCUGCGGUGAAUACGUUCCCGGGCCUUGUACACACCGUGUCGA
rnacentral:rRNA from 1 species